CAGUCGCCGCGGUAAUACGAAGGGGGCUAGCGUUGCUCGGAAUGACUGGGCGUAAAGGGCGCGUAGGCGGAUGGCACAGUCAGAUGUGAAAUUCCCGGGCUUAACCUGGGGGCUGCAUUUGAUACGUGUUGUCUAGAGUGAGGAAGAGGGUCGUGGAAUUCCCAGUGUAGAGGUGAAAUUCGUAGAUAUUGGGAAGAACACCGGUGGCGAAGGCGGCGACCUGGUCCUUUACUGACGCUGAGGCGCGAAAGCGUGAGGAGCAAACAGGAUUAGAUACCCCAGUAGUCCCUGUCUCUUAUAA
rnacentral:rRNA from 1 species